rnacentral:rRNA from 1 species
AACGCGAAGAACCUUACCUACCCUUGACAUGCUAGGAAGUCUGCAGAGAUGCGGAUGUGCCUUCGGGAACCUAGACACAGGUGCUGCAUGGCUGUCGUCAGCUCGUGUCGUGAGAUGUUGGGUUAAGUCCCGUAACGAGCGCAACCCUUAUCCUUAGUUACCAGCACGUAAUGGUGGGAACUCUAAGGAGACUGCCGGUGACAAACCGGAGGAAGGUGGGGAUGACGUCAAGUCCUCAUGGCCCUUAUGGGUAGGGCUACACACGUGUUACAAUGGUCGGUACAGAGGGUCGCCAACCCGCGAGGGGGAGCUAAUCCCGAAAAACCGAUCUCAGUCCGGAUUGAGGUCUGCAACUCGACCCCAUGAAGUUGGAAUCGCUAGUAAUCGCGGAUCAGAACGCCGCGGUGAAUACGUUCCCGGGCCUUGUACACACCGGCUAC